CCUGAGCCACGAUCUCUAUUUGAUCUCGCACUUCUGGCCAGCUGUAGGCCGCAAUGCUCCACAGAAUUAGGACAACUGCCGCCACAACUUGUCUCCAUAAGCUUGGUCUGCUUUGUUCUGGGAUCCUAAGAUAAAAGAGGGUUGUCACCUUGCGAUGGCGACUGUUUUUGUUGACUGUUGACAGUUGACUGUCUCGUGUCGUCCGUCUAUCAAGCCCGAUAUCGCCUGCUUGCCAAGCUCCCAGCCUGAAAGCUUCUGCCUUUUCUGUUGGUGGACUCUUUCCUUAUCAGCUGCAAAUACCUAGCUAUAUGUACGCCAGACCACGUCUCGCGUAACAGGCUUCGCGAUAUCUCACGAAACACUGUUACGCUGCGACGCGCCUGGUGCACAUAUAGCUAGGCCUGCGGCGCUGACACCCGAGACGGGGUAAUAGGAGUGUAUAUACAAUUUUUCGAAAUGAAGUCUUUUUAACGAUUUAA